rnacentral:rRNA from 1 species
AACGUAGGUACCGAGCGUUAUCCGGAUUUACUGGGCGUAAAGCGUGUUCAGGCGGCCUGGCAAGUCGGGCAUGAAAUCUCUCGGCUCAACCGAGAGAGGCUGUCCGAUACUGCUGGGCUUGAGGACGGUAGAGGGUGGUGGAAUUCCGCGUGUAGUGGUGAAAUGCGUAGAUAUGCGGAGGAACACCAGUGGCGAAGGCGACUGACUGGACAAGUAUUGACGCUGAGGCACGAAAGCGUGGGGAGCAAACAGG